rnacentral:lncRNA from 1 species
ACCACUAUAGUUAUUAAAUUCAAAUUGAAAAUUGACUCGAUUAAAAAACCAAGUCUCGGAUCAUACUAGUUGACCCCAGCAACCCAAGAAAAUCAAUUCAAUUCAAUUCCAUACAAGACAAAUCCAGGAAGUGAAAUCACCUCUCUUUAACCAACACAUCAACUCUUUAUUUCCAUGUGGCAAGAUCCCACCAGUUACCGAUAAAAGACAGCCUCCUCGUUCUACCAAAAAAUCUGUCGUGUGCCUCCACCUUUGUGUCUUAGUUUCUUUAUCUCCCGCUUCGUCUUCUCCUCCCUCUCUCUCACUCUCUGUUUCAUCUUCAGUUCUCUGCCAGUCUAAUCUCUGUAAGUCCCAUUCUAUCUUUCACCAGAGCUUUUUCUUAUUCUUCCCUUUUGAUUUGCUAAAGCAAAAUCCUUUUCCUUUUUUUUUUCUCUUUGAAAAAUGGUGAAAGAUUAUCCACUUUAUCAGUGAUAUAGAGGGAUUCAUGUUUUUCUAUCUGUAAAUCCAAUUUUCAAGAAAUAAACUGAGUUUUUUCGGGUUCUUGUAAUCAUAACAUGGACUAAAAAACUGUUGAGAUCUCUCUUCAAUUUUUAACCGGAUCUCACCUGAGUUACGUCGGGUUAUUUGGGUUUCAGGUUAACCCACCAGGCUACAACCACCCAAACCCAGAUCUCUAACAAAAAAAAAAAAAAAAUUGAAAUUAAAUUGAGCUUAAACAUUCAAUUUGAUAGAAGACCAAUUAUAGUUUACUCUAACCGCCAUCUUUCCAGCAUAUAAACCAGUCUCCUACCACCAUUGCAGCAACUCCUCUCCUUCACACCACAUCAAAACCACCAAAACAACCAUCACCUUCACUAGUAACUCCGAUCAACACAACAACCCCAACAACAUGUUAAUUAGUAUUUUCAAUUGAGAAAAUUAACAUGAACCCAGAACCCAGAUUUAAUAAGACCAUGAAAAAAUUGAAACCAACAGUUCAUCAAACUCUAGAUUAUCAAGAACCAAAAAAAAACCCCAAGUUGGUUGAUAAAAACUCUUCCCCGAUGAGCCUUUUACUUUCCUUUUUUGAUCAAGAAGAAGCACUUGAAUCUGCCAAAAAUAAAAUGGGUGAGGAGAGAGGAGAAAAUGAAAGAUUAAAAAUGAUGCUGGAG